ACAGUGCCUGAAAGAAACUACUCCGUCGCACGGAGAAAGAGAGCUUUGAAAAGUCUUUAAAAUACGACGUUGUACAGUUUAUCUGAAAUUACCUCCCCUGUGAUAAACAUACAAAUUGUACACGGUGGGUAGUGGUACAUGGGGAACAUGGAGGUAAUGUCACCAUAUCGUGAGAUACAUUAAUCUUUGAUUUCUCACGAAAAAUAGAAUACAUAGAAUAAUUUUUUUUUUAAAUUCCCCUUCACUAAAUAGGAAGGCAACAGGUGCACAGUUGUGUACUGAAGCAAAAAAACCUCACUAUCCAUUAACAGACUGGCUGAGAGAGAGACUGACUGGUCUACAAAAUAUCACUAAACGGUUCUUGUCAGUAUCAUUCUUUCAUGUGGAACGUCAUGGGGAAAAAACUUCACAAGACCUCAGUCAAUAAGCCCUUUGAAAUCAGGAACCACCAAAACAAAACAAAAAUACUCAUUGUAUCACCCACAGCUUAAAAAACCUCCAGUGGUUUCUAACCAGUCCUAGAUUCCCACUACUAUCCCAGUGCUAUGUUCUUCAGCUUGCAACACAGGUGAGACAGACAAUCAUCCCUUGAUUACCUGACUCGCAUAUGUUGAAAGCCUGUAAAGCACAUUACAUUAAAGGUAAGUGGAUAUUUGUUGUAUUCUGUGCCCAAGCUGCAAAAAAGGAUCAGAUCACAGAGACAAAAUAGCUAAUACAAGUGCAUGUGGAUGUUUUCAGACCCUUUCAAGUUUUCCAUUUUGGUAUGUUUCAGGCUUAUCGCCCAGCUGUGAAAUAACCUUCCAGUCGGUGUUCAGGACUCUAUAUUUUUAGGUCUAGGUUAAAAUGUAUUUGUGUAGUCAAGCUUUUGGAAAUCAGUUUUCAUGUUAGAUAAAUGACCAGAUCUUCAAGUUCCUGGAGUUAAACAAUGAUGGUAAACUGAGCCGUGGGUGCUUCACUGAUGUUUGCUGGAGUGGAAUGGAGUGGCUAAUGCCUCAGGGAGCUCUCAUGCCUGUGCUGCUUUCUGGCACUCCCCCUUUUAGCUAAGAUGUUAUGUCUAGUUCUGCUGGAGUCUCUGCUGCAUUCUGGUAAUCGUAUAUUUGUGUACAGUGCAUUCCAAUCAGAGCGAACUAACUCUGUUUCUUUUCUCUUCUGAGUUGUGGAACUGCCCCUCAUGUCUCUUCUGAUCAGCCCUGAAGGAGAGUUGCUCUUUGUAUGUCCUUCAGACCAGUCUGAUCACCGUGGACCAUCCAUCUCUACUGCAUGUUCCACUGACUCUCCUGUUCCUGGGUGCCAUGGAGACUUUAGUGAAGAGCCCAUCACCACCACCACCAGCUCUCCUGCUGGACUGUGAUUGGACUGUAGUUGUUUACUUUAUGUGGACUGUGGAUAGGACAUCCAAUUGUAGUUGCCAAAGGCCCUUCGUAAUGGCGCUCACAACUGACAUUUGGUGCAUCUUGGACGUUUGGAGACACCAACAGUCUUUCUAGAUCAGGCCCCCAAGCUAAACAGCAUAAUCAGGGAUGACGGGGCUUGGUUAGACUCCAGUGGUCACUAUAUAAGAGAUCCAGAGUUCCUUUGGGGAAAAACUAUCCAUAAUUCCCAGGCACAUGUAUAAAGGAAACCAGCUGCUGGGCUUCACCACAUCAAUAACAUAUCCAGAGUGAAACACUGCAGGCAGCAUCCUACUUUGGAAAACCCAAAAUAUCAUCCCUUGAGAGACCUGAAAGUGGCUGUGCACCGAUGAUGACUCCAACCAUACCAGCAUUAAAACACAGGAGUCAUUUUGGGAAAACUUUGUGAAAGUCCCAGAGUUGCCCAGCUUGAAUCCAGACCUGAAUCGCCAGACUACAUCCGUGGAAAUAUGUGAAACUGGCUGCGCACCAGUGCAUCCCAGACAAGCUGGCUGAGCUUGAAGAAUGGGAGAACCUUCCAACAAAAGGCUGUGCCAAGCUUGUGGGGUCGUUGCCAAGCAGACUUGAGGCCAACAUAGCUGCCAAAAGGUGCUUUACAAAUUUCCAUGCCUGGGAUUCAGAUGAAUGUCCUUUGAAAGGAUGUAGUCAUACAUAGAUAUGAUGAAAUCUGUGUUCUCGGGACUGUUGUCGGC